UUUUUUUUUUUUUUUUUUUUUUUUGUAUUUUGUCUGUUUUCUAGUGCUUCUCCAGUGAGUUUUCUUUCUGAAAAGGCUCUCUGCUUGACAGGUGUGGAUGAAAUGACCUUUUGCUGUGCAGGAAUAGUGGAAGGCAAACAUCAACCCAUCUGACUCAAGAAAAUAAAUAAGCCCGGUCUCUAUCAACAAGGAGAUAAAACACAGUAACUCACCUGCCUUUUGUUGCUUCUCAAUACAUAAAACUCAUCCUUAAAUUAUUGUGUUGAAAACACUUAAUAUAAAGCAGUUUUCUCCUGAAUGUAGCCACUCUCUUUUGUGACACUGGCUGUUAUUUGGAAGGCAGCCAUGCUUACCACUAUACUACCAAUGCUGCACUAGGACCAUGGCUAUCAUUUGAAAUACUGAAUACUGCUUGCCUUAUCCCCCCAUAUUAGUCUAAGGUUAAGCUCGUACCUUAACGUUAGCAGCUGAAUUAUGUUUUCAUUUACAAACAUCUGAGUUUACUAAAGAAAGAGAAAAGCAGCUUUUACCACCAUGGUCCUUACUGCUUUUAUUUGUUUGUUUGUUUAUUUAUUUAUUUAUUUAUUUAUUUCUUGUCUUUUUGCUAUUUCUUGGGCCGCUCACGCAGCAUAUGGAGGUUCCCAGGUUAGGAGUCCAAUCGGAGUUGUAGCUGCUGGCCUACACCACAGCCACAGCAACUCCAGAUCCGAGCCGCAUCUUCUACUUACACCACAGCUCAAGGCAACGCAGGAUCCUUAACUCACUGAGUGAGGUCAGGGAUGGAACCCACAUCCUCAAGGAUGCUAGUCGGGUUUGCUAACCCCAGAGCCAUGACGGGAACUCCAGGAAAACUUAAUUUUAAAUGUGUAAGAUCUAUAUGAUGAAAACUUUGAAACAUUCAGAAGGCAUAUAAAAGACAACCCAAAUAAAAAGACAUAGUUUUUACCUGGAUGGAAAUUCUCAGUAUGCUAAAGAUAUAAACUGUUACUAUAUUCACCUAAACAUUUAAGGUAAUAUCAAUAAAUAAUCAACAGGAUUUUCAGGAAAAUAAUAUAGAUUGAUCUGGAAAUUCAGAUGAAAAUAAAAGUAAAUGAAAAAAUCUAAUGAACUAGAACAAUCUCUAUAAAAUAAUAAUAGAUAUCUACUAAAAGCUAUGAUAAAUAAAGCACUUUAUUACCAGUCUAAACUAUAUAGAAAGGUCAAUGAUAGCAGAAGGAAGAAU
rnacentral:lncRNA from 1 species